rnacentral:rRNA from 1 species
UACGUAGGGGCCGAGCGUUGUCCGGAGUUAUUGGGCGUAAAGCGCGCGCAGGCGGCUUCGCGCGCCCGACGUGAAAGCCCCCCGGCUUAACCGGGGAGAGUCGUUGGGGACGGCGGAGCUUGAGGGCGGGAGAGGUCGGUGGAAUUCCCGGUGUAGUGGUGAAAUGGACAGAUAUCUGUUAGAACACCAGUGGCGAAGGCGGCCGACUGGGCCGUUCCUGACGGCUGACACCCGAAAGCCAGGGGCAGCGAACCGG